AUAACAUCCGGAAACGGGUAGCUAAUACCGCAUAGUUUUCUUGAUCACAUGAUUGAGAAAGGAAAGACGGCCUUUGUGCUGUCGCUUAUGGAUGGACCCGCGGCGUAUUAGUUAGUUGGUGAGGUAACGGCUCACCAAGACGAUGAUACGUAGCCGACCUGAGAGGGUGAUCGGCCACAUUGGGACUGAGACACGGCCCAAACUCCUACGGGAGGCAGCAGUAGGGAAUCUUCCGCAAUGGACGAAAGUCUGACGGAGCAACGCCGCGUGAGUGAAGAAGGUUUUUUACCGGGAUCGUAAAACUCUGUUGUCAGAGAAGAACAAGUUGGAGAGUAACUGCUCCAGCCUUGACGGUAUCUGACCAGAAAGCCACGGCUAACUACGUGCCAGCAGCCGC
rnacentral:rRNA from 1 species